AUUGAACGCUGGCGGCAGGCCUAACACAUGCAAGUCGAGCGGAUGAAGGGAGCUUGCUCCUGGAUUCAGCGGCGGACGGGUGAGUAAUGCCUAGGAAUCUGCCUGGUCGUGGGGGAUAACGUCCGGACACGGGCGCUAAUACCGCAUACGUCCUGAGGGAGAAAGUGGGGGAUCUUCGGACCUCACGCUAUCAGAUGAGCCUAGGUCGGAUUAGCUAGUUGAUGGGGUAAAGGCCUACCAAGGCGACGAUCCGUAACUGGUCUGAGAGGAUGAUCAGUCACACUGGAACUGAGACACGGUCCAGACUCCUACGGGAGGCAGCAGUGGGGAAUAUUGGACAAUGGGCGAAAGCCUGAUCCAGCCAUGCCGCGUGUGUGAAGAAGGUCUUCGGAUUGUAAAGCACUUUAAGUUGGGAGGAAGGGAAGUAAGUUAAUACCUUGCUGUUUUGACGGUACCAACAGAAUAAGCACCGGCUAACUUCGUG
rnacentral:rRNA from 1 species